GCCAGGAGAACUGAGGGAGGCGGACUCCUAGCGCAGCACGGAGUGGGGGGACGGGAAGGGAAGAGUAGGGAGGUGCUGCCCGGCCCCUAGGUGGCGCUGUGGGGCACCGUGCGAGGUGCUUUGGCUCGGGGCACCCGGGGCACAGAGCGCAGCCCUUCUGGGGGGGAGGGUAGAACCUAGUUCAUUGGCAUUAGGAAGGAGAGGAGAGGUUGUUUCCAGGAAGACAGAAUACUGAGAACCCAGGAAGGGCUGGCGCACACGCUUCUCCCGGGCCUGGGAAUUCUGAGGCCAGAUGUUUGCCAUGGGACCUGGGGAGCUGCCAGAGGUCAGAGCCGCCUGGGGGCUUCUCCCGCCGCCGGGUUCCAGCCUCCACUCCCCAGAUCUGCAGCCCCAAAGAGGAGAAAGCCGAAACACUGCAAAGUGGAAAUUUGAUCAAUCCCUCUGGAGCCGCGCACACUGGGGGUCGCCCCAGUCGCCGGAUGCAGAAGACUGCACAGUCACAGCGACCCCAGCAGAGGGCCUUGUCCAGCCCUUCAACGGCCUGGAGCCCUCUGCGGGAGCGUGGCAGCCGUGGGGUGAGAGGGGAUCCACCAGCGGCCCCCUCCUGGCCCUGUUGUCCCACCAUCGUGCUUGAUCCUGGCCUGAAUGCCCAGCCUUGGCCGGAGCCAUCAUCAGCCCUCACCUUCAGCAUUUCCGAAGAGUAUGGGCACAGCGCGCUGUGGAUAGGAUCGACCAGUUCUCAGCCACAGCCCUUUGAAGCUCAGAAGGAACUGGACAGCCCCCACCAUCGCUACAGCCAGCUUUGCCAUGGAGUCUUCAGUCUCAGCGCUGGUCCCUCCCCAUCAUCUGGCGUUGUUGGGGUCCCUCCUCAUCCUGAGAAGAUCCUGGAUGAGGUACCUGUGUUUCACCCCUCUGUCCCUGCAAAAUGCAGAGCCACGCUGACAUUUUCAACUUCUCUCUGGACAGGGAUCCUAUUGCUGUUGAAAUGUCAUUCACAGUGUAUUAAAAUCCUGGAGUCUGUAUUCCCAUACUUCAUGAUAACAGGGGCUAAUGCUUAUUUUGUUCUUGAUCUGGCCAACCACAGAGCUUAUAAUUUAUCCUAGCAAAAUUUAUAAUUUAAUCCUUGCAAAAAUCUUCUGAACUAGAUGCCUUGAUCAACCCUGUUUUACAGAUGUGAAAACUGAUGUCCUGAAAGUUUGACCUGACCAAUGUCGAUUAUCCAGUAAAGGUUUCAAAGGCCAACCUUUAAUCAGUAUAUCCACCAUCACAUACCAGGUUCUUAAUAACUGCUCAUAUAUUAUCUCACUCGUCACCUGGUGGCCUGUCUGCUGGGGCGGACAAAUGAGGAGUAGUGGCUAGUCCAAUGUCACACAGCUAAAAUGGGACAGGAUUUGAAUCCAGUCCUAGCCCUCUUCCCUUUACCACACUGCCUCUGUGCAAUCUGAGAGGGAGGGCCUGUUAUCCCUCCCACCCCAAUUAAACUAUUUAUUUUAGAUUUUAAAACUUAGCUGUCUUUAGAGAAAUCGAACACAUUUGGCACCAGAGAGAGGAUUCUAGAUUAGGAUUGUAAAUUCUUCCUGUAAUUAACCAUGAACAGCCAUGAAAACAGCAUUUAGAAUCAUCACAGGCAGCCUAAGAGGCAGAAAGGCUUCAGCUUCCUACAGCCAGAAGGAGGAAAUGAACGUGCUUGUUCCCUUCCCUCUUUGCCAGCUCUAUCUUUACUCAGAGAUGAGGGCUCCAGGGAAGGCAAGGGGUUCAGGAGCAACAAGCGCUUCUACUUGGCAGUCCCCUGGUUGGCCGUGCAAAGGGAGAAGCAGAUAGAUAGUAACCAUCUUUGCAUCGGUAGCACAUGCCAAUGCUCAUACUUUUAUGUCCUGUAUUUCAGCCCAGUCCCACACACAGGGAGAUCUGGGCUUCUUCAACCCAUUUGCUCAUCAGAAACAGCAGCACAUGGCUUUCUGAUCUCAUAGCUGGCAGCUCACCUUGAAUUGGUGAGAGUACCUAGGAAGAAGGGGACCUCCUGAGAUCUGCAGUGAUGUCCCCUCCAACCAGCCUCAGAAAGGGACGACCGAUGUCUCUUGAAGAGCAAGGCAAACUGGACCUCAAACCCAACCCAACACCCAGGGACAGGUGACCUUAGAUGCUGCCUUAGAGAAAUGCUGCAACCACCCCUUCCAGGCUGGCAUCUACUCCAUCCCUCCGCCCCCUAGUGGUGGGUGGUGAAUUUGAACAUUUGUCGGUAUUGUACAGUAAUUCCCCCAGAGCCUUUGGGAUUAUUUUGGCCUCUCAAUUACCUUUCUGGGCUAGAUAAACUUUUCAAAGUUAGAUGAAAAUCAAUCUCCCUUCCUCCCUUCCUUCCUUCCUUGCUUCCUUCUUUCCUUUCUUCCUUUUUUUUUCAGAACCGGGGAUCAACUCAGGUCCUUGCAUUUGCAUGUCAGGUGGCAGAACCACUGAGCUAAAUCCCCAGCCCAGAUAAAAAUAUUUCUAACUAAGCCGGUGGUUCCAUGAUUUUUAACUUUGUUGGCUACUAGAGCUAUUCCAGACAUUCAGAAGCGACUGAAAUCUAAUCUAAGGAAGCCAAAAGAAGACUGGAAAAUGGGAAGAUAAAUUGACUUUUGAUCCCUAAAAUAUUAAUAAGCUAUAGUUAAAUGUUGAAAUGUGAUUAGAAUCUGAACAGCUUUUCUUUCUCACUUUAGAACGGACCGUGAGUUUAUUUCUGUAGGACAGAAGUGGGUUAACUUCAUGGUCAUGCAAGGAAAGAAGUGACAAUACCUUCCACUGUUACUGGGCUGUGGCAGCAUUUCACAGCAAGCGGCCUCAGUGUAAUUCGACACAAUGAGAAACUGUUGUUGGAGUAAUUCACAUGAACCAUCUUCUGCCAGCUUCAAUUUUGUUCACAGGCAAAUGCAAUGUUGAAAAAUAAAUGCAAAGAAUGAUUGCCCAUUGUCACUGGGAUGGAAGAUAGAUGCUUAGAGUCUCACCAUGUGGAUGGGAGUUUUUUUCCCCCCUUUUUUGAAAAUGCACCAAUCAUAUAUUGCAUCCAACCAAGGGAAGAAUUGAGGCUAGGCCAACUUCUCUGGCUUGCAACUAAUAUUUGAGCUGAGUCAAAGCUGAUUUCUUUCCCUUGGAGUUUUGUGCUCUCCACCCCCAUUUCCCAAUUAGCUUGGUCCAUAUGCUUUCUACCAUAUAGCCACUGUCUGCCACUUGCACUCAUAUUUUAAGAUCAUAUUUUAAAUCAUCUCUCUUAAUUUGAACAUGAUCUAAAGCCCAGAAAUAAAAAAGGGUAAACAUCAGUGUGAAUGCAGUUUUUAAAAAAGUGUUGGAUCCAAAAGCCAAGUAGAAAAGCAGAAGAAAGAACACGAGUGGAAAUUGGAGGAAUUGAUAUAACUAGGGUUUGGGGAUGUGUUAUAUUUAUGGACAAUUAUUUUGAUGUAAAAGAGAAAGGAUAAAAAUAAUAAACAUUUACGAGUACUAGUGCAUUUUGGGAGCUCAUCGCUGGGAGCCUUCUAUUGCUAUGUAUAUAAAUAGAAUUUGUUUCUCCAGUAGGCUCUUUGCACCUUAAGGGUAGACAAAGUGUUUCACUUUAGAACUAAAGGAUCAUUUGUCCCCUGUGGCGCCUACCAGGCCUCCUGCAAGAAGCAUAGGACAAAGAUGCAGAAGGUGUUGAGGUUUGUGGAAAACUUCCUUCUAGGCAUUUUCCCCAGGGACUCGCUUCUCUGUCCUAGUCCUCUGUGAUUGUGCACACCCCUGUCUGCAGCAGAAAUUGUCCCAUCAGCCCUGCCCCUGACAUGAUGCUUCUCCCUGGCUAUCUCCAAGGAAGACUUGCCCUACUUUGCUCUUGGUCUCUGAAAAUGCAC
ensembl:lincRNA